CUCCUGCAGGGGUGCCUGCCAAGCAGCCUGGGCACUGCCGUCUGGAAGAUGCGCCGUGCCGGUUCUACACGGUGUUCCCUUGCUCCAGGCAGAAAGGCAGAGGAGCCUGGCAACCAUGUCCCAAGUUGGAAGGAAGCUCUGAGAACCCUGCUCCCCAGAAAUCCUGAGCAAAGGCUGGCUGGCCUACAGGAGCAGUCUAGAGUAAGAGCUGUUUCCUGGCAGAGGAUCAAGUAUCCAGGUCACAUUGAAGAGACAUGUGAGGACUCCAAUGGAGAACAAUUUGAGAGUGAGAAACCAGUUCUGGAGGCCAGGAAGUUCAAGAUCAAGGUGUUGGCAAGUUCAGUGUCUGCUGAGGACCUGAUCUCUCUUCUUUCAAGAUGGCAUCUUGUUGCUCUUCCCUCCAGAGAGUAGAAAUGCUGGAACCUCACAUGGAGGAAAAAAUGAAAAGGACCAAUGCUAGUUCCCUUCAGCCUUUUUAUGAACUCACUAAUUCCCAUUGAGGGCUCCACAUACAUGACUUAAUCACCUCCUAAAUGCCUGACUUCCUAAUACUCUCAUUUUGAAGAUUAAGUUUCAACAUAUGAAUUUGGGGGUCAUAUUCAGAACAUAGCACUUAUGAUACUAUCUCAAAUCAUAGACUGCUUUCUCGGUGGGCAUCUAUCUCAGUUUCUUUUCUGUUGUUAUUACAGAGUACCUGAGCCUGAGUAAUUUAUAAAGAAAAUACAUUUAUUUUGGCUCAUGGCUCUAUAGGCUGGGAAGUCCAAGAUUGGGCGGUUACAUCUGGUUGGCUCCUGGUGCGGGCCUCCUGCCGCAUCAUAACAAGGUAGAGAAGUGAAAGGGAAGGUGGGCUUGUAGGAAGGGGGCAAAGCAUGAAGGGCAGGCUUGCUUUAUAGAAACUGGGACACAGCACCCCACAGGAUGAGUGUAUAAAGGCUAGACAGACAAGGGGAUUGUUGUGUUGAACCUGAAAAGUCCCCUCACCUGGCAAUGCUCUCUGUUCCCUGUGAGAAGAAGGGGUUUCUUUUCUUCUGGGAUGAUUCAUCCCUUCACCUGUGGCCUUCCCUAGAGCCCAUCCUUGUGCCAUUCUGCUCUCCAGGCACAUCUCUCUCAGAUGAAUUCCCUCUUCCCUCUUCCUCUGGCCCCUCCUGUUUAUUUAUCUGUUUCCUCACCACUGUGUAAUCAGGUAGGCCCCACUGCUGUGACCUCUGGAAUAAUGAUUGAAUCUGCCCUAUCCUCUCCACAGUGAUGCCUGGGACCCAGCUGAGAUCUCCAUCAUCUCUCAAAACAACUGUGCACUGACCUCCUGACCUAAGCCCAGCCUCUGCCCACUCAGACUGACCUUCACGCAGCUGCACAAUGCUGCAUUUGGAAGCCGGACCUGACCACAUUCGUUUCCCUCUAGAUUCAUGUUCUGGAGAAAUGAAAAUGCUGUCUCAGUGGAAUGUUGAUUAGCUGGAGUGGAGACCCAAGAUCUCUGUCCAGGCAGGGCCAUCAACUAGAGGUGGCCCUGUGAUUGAUGAGUGACCAGCCAUGUGUGGAGAAAAGCAAUGUGAACAACUUCUGACUUCGCUGUUAAAGAAAAUUGGUCUGUCCCCCAUUUCCUUGCAUUCCCAUUCUUACUGGCUGAAAUUCAAAGCUGAUAAAUGGAGCUAGAGCAGAUAGCUGGGAAAAUGAGUUGAGGGUCUUACAUUAAGACUUGCCAGCAAGAAGAAGAAUUUUUCCAGGGUUCCUGACACCGCCAAAUUGUUCGAUCAGCUCUGAACUCUAUACUGAGAUUCUUUAAGUAUGAGAGACAUGAACUUUGACUGGCUUAAGUGAGCUAUUGAGGUCUCUUUGCUAUUGUGACCUAACUCAGGGGUCAGCAAAUAACACUCUGUGCGCAAAAUCUGACUACGAUCUGUUUUUGUAACUAAAUAAAAUUUCACUGAAACACACCCAUGCUCAUUUAUUUAGGUAUGGCUGCUUUCAUGAUACCAUGGCACAUUUGACUACCUAUAGACAGUGAUAUGAUGUGGAUCUGUGUCCCCACCCAAAUCUCAUGUUGAAAUGUAAUCCCCCUGUGCUGGAGGUGGGAUCUGGUGGGAGGUGAAAUGGGGGCGGUUUCUCAAGAAUGGUUUAGCUCCAUUUCUCUGCUGCUGUAUUCAUGAUAGUAAGUGAGUGAGUUGUCACAAGAUCUGAUUGUGUAAAAGUGUGUGGCACCUCCCCCUUCUCUCUUGCUCCUUCUCGGCCAUGUAAGACCUGCCUGCUUCCCCUUCACCUUCCACCAUGAUUGUAAAUUUCAU
rnacentral:lncRNA from 10 species